rnacentral:rRNA from 1 species
AAAAAUACUCUAGGGAUAACAGCGUAAUAAUUUUUGAUAGAUCUUAUAGACAAAAUAGUUUGCGACCUCGAUGUUGGAUUAGGAUACUUUUUUAAUGAAGAUGUUAAAAAAAGAAGUUUGUUCAACUUUUAAAUUCCUACUUGAUCUGAGUUC